GGACAAGUUCCCUGGAUAGAAUGGCACUCACAGAUUUGACCCACUAGGUCCAUGAUUUUUAAUCUUUGGUGGGUAUCCAAGUGCUUGGUUCCCACUUCAGGUCUGCCGAUUCAAGCCUGCAUGACAGAGUGAGAACCUGUCUCAAAAAAACAAAAAACAAAAAACAAACCCCAGACCUGCUGAUUUAGUACCUGUAUGGGUGCUUAGAUCUACUUGGUUUUGGGUUCUAGGCCCACCACUAAAUGAUCAGAUGUGUGACCUUUGGUAUGUUUCUUAACCUCUGUAAGUCUAUUCAUUCAACUACAAAAGAGACAAGAUGCUUGACUUAGAGCAUGGUUUUGAGGAAUGAAUUAGAUAAUUUACUCAUGCAUCUGGCCUAGGUGAGUGUUCUAUAAAUAUAGUAGGCUGGAAUGUUCUUCCAUGAGAUAUCAACAUCUCCUUUAGGUCUCUUAUCGGUGAGGCCACACCCUCCUUUUAAAAUUGGCUUGCACAGGGCAAAGAGUUGGGUCCAGGGCUUUUAUAAACAUUUAAAAAAUUAUAAAUAUUAACUUUCAUAUUUUAUAAAAUUGUAUAUUUUAUACACACUAAUUACUGCAUGCUUAGCAAGCUUAGUUCAAUCACCUGCCUAUCACAGUCCCAAGUACACACAGAUAGAAGCAAGGGCUCUGUGUAGUAAAUUGCUUUGGCUGUCUUACCGCGGUGCUCAUAAGUAUGUUUUGCUUAGAAACUGCUCCACUGGCAAGGCAUAACAAUGAAGUUAAGCAAAUGUUUUGCUGGUCUCUGAGGCCCUGUCAGGUCAGUGGACUACUGCUUAUGUUUGUAAGAAUAGUCUCUUCAUGUCUAUUUAGAGACAUGGCCUGCUACCCAAUUCCCCAAGCCCAAGUGAUAAAGCGUUUUGAGUCUUUGAAUUACUUAGCUUGUUGCCUCAGUUGCCUUCUGGGUGUUCUUCUGGUAACAGCCUAUUUGAUGGAUGUGAAUUUAAUUUCUCAAACCCAUUAGGAUGAUUUAGUUAUGACUUGGAAUCUUGGAAUGCCAUCAAAUAUGGCCUUUAAAAAUUUAAGUAAUUUUGUCCACAGUUGAAUUAAGAAAAAAAAACAACUCACCUCAUUGUAUACAAAGAAAAGAAGCUCCUUCAAUAUUUUUCACUAUUAAGUAGAUUAAAGUGGUAAGAACACAAAAGUGAAAACAAACACAUUCAUAGAAAUGCCUUUGAAAGCCCCUUAGGAUCUGUUUUCACAGAGAAAAUGAAUGUUAGAGUAUUAUAUGUAGCUUUUCCCUCCAUUCUGGUUUUCCUGUAAGCAGCUGCCCAAAAUUUCAACAUGACUACUGAGACUUAGUAGGGCUGACUUGAAUUGAGAUUAAUUACUUCUUGGUUGGAUGAGAUGCCCAACGAAGGUGGGACUGGGAUCAGGGUCUGUGAGAAUGAAUAUUAAAUAACACAGUAGCAUAAAGCAAGCAGCAUCACGUGGAAUAGCCCUUGCCUGUUACUCCUGAACAAUCCAAUGCAUCUGAUAAAUUACACUCUCAAAUUCCUUUGUUAGGAUGUUGUAAUUACUGACUAAUUAAAAAAUAGUCUAGUUUGGUUGUCUUCAUUAAAAAUUUUGCGAACAAUUAAUAAGAAAUAGAAAUUAAAUGGUUGGUACUACUCAGAUAUCUCCUUUCCCAAACCAGGUACCACAGCGUUAGUCUUUUUCAUAUCAAUUUAAUUGGUUUUAUUCAUUUCAGGAAACUAAUUUUACAACAGAAGUAAAGCUUUUAAAUACAAUUUCUGAUACAUAUCAAGUAUGAGAAAUUUGGCUAACCAAACUUUAAUGCUUUAUAAACAUGUAAGCAAAACCAAAUGUGAGAUCAAUCCCAUUAGGAUGUAAAUUUAUCAACAUUUCUAGACAAA
rnacentral:lncRNA from 1 species